GACCAUAUUUUCAUCACCUCUCUAUGGUCGCGGCUG
rnacentral:ncRNA from 1 species